rnacentral:rRNA from 1 species
AAAUAAUUUUAUUAAGGUUAUUUGUAAAUUUAAAAAUUGAAAUUAAUUUAUUUAUUUUGUUGGGGUGACAGAAAAAUAUAAAAAACUUUUUUUAAAUAUAAAACAUAUAUAAGUGAGUAAAUGAUCCAAUUUUAUUGAUUACAAGAAAAA